rnacentral:rRNA from 1 species
UACGAAGGGGGCUAGCGUUGCUCGGAAUCACUGGGCGUAAAGCGCACGUAGGUGGAUUGUUAAGUCAGGGGUGAAAUCCUGGAGCUCAACUCCAGAACUGCCUUUGAUACUGGCGAUCUUGAGUCCGGGAGAGGUGAGUGGAACUGCGAGUGUAGAGGUGAAAUUCGUAGAUAUUCGCAAGAACACCAGUGGCGAAGGCGGCUCACUGGCCCGGUACUGACGCUGAGGUGCGAAAGCGUGGGGAGCAAACAGGG